UACGUAGGGGGCGAGCGUUGUCCGGAUUUAUUGGGCGUAAAGAGCGUGUAGGCGCCAGGUAGGUCUGCUGUGAAAACUCGAGGCUCAACCUCGAGACGCCGGCGGAAACCAUCUGGCUAGAGUCCGGAAGAGGAGGGUGGAAUUCCUGGUGUAGCGGUGAAAUGCGCAGAUAUCAGGAAGAACACCCGUGGCGAAGGCGGCUCUCUGGGACGGUACUGACGCUGAGACGCGAAAGCGUGGGGAGCGAACAGG
rnacentral:rRNA from 1 species